rnacentral:lncRNA from 1 species
UAUCACUCACAUCUCACACCUCCUCCCCUAGCACUCACACAUCACACACCUCCCCUAGCACUAUCACUCAGACGAUCACUCUCCCCUAGCACUGUCACUCACAUCACACACUCUCCCCUAGCACUGUCACUCAGACGAUUACUCUCCCCUAGCACUGUCACUCAGAUUAUACACUCUCCCCUAGCACUGUCACUCACAUUAUACUCUCCCCCUAGCACUGUCACUCACAUUAUACACUCUCCCUUAAGCACUGUCACUCACAUCAUACACUCUCCCCUAGCACUGUCACUCACAUUAUACACUCCCCCUAGCACUGUCACUCACAAUAAUACCCUCCCCAAGCCUGUAUGCAAUACACUCUCCUCUACAACUGUCAAAUUCUCUCUGCUCUACUUUGAUUCUGCUUCAAGGGACAUGUCCAAUCACAACAGAGAAAUCUUUGAAGUCAAAGUGCAUUUGAUUUCUAUUGAUCACAUGCAACAGAGCCAUUGUGUUUGUUAUUGAUCGUGAUUGUUAGUAGCUGCUGUGUUUCGACAGUGCAACAUUAUAAAUAAUUGUGUUUCAUGAACAAAACCAAUUACCUUAAAUGUUUAACAUGUUGGAAAUGUUAAAUAUAAUAUUACACACACUAUAUUUCCAACUAUGCAUUGUGUAAUUUUUAUCAGUUGGUUUUCUGUCGGAUGUGGUUGGCAUUUUGUUUUAUGUCUUAAAACAUCCCUUCACAGCAGGAACUGUUUCAUUGGGUUUCAUCAGUAGCCGAUGUUAAAAUAUUUAGAAAAGAAGAUCAAACAGACAUACAGACACAGACUCACAUGUCAGGACGAGGACAGGAAGCAUCUUCAUAGUACUGAGAAGCACCCCAAGAGCUCCAUUUCAACCCGGACUGUCCCUUGAGUGCGUCCUCCAGGCAGAGGGUGUGUGACUCAGCUUUUGUGAGGACGUCUUUUAGUAGACAUUUUAUCAGUCAUUUUAUCAGUCACCUCACCACACACUGAAGGACACCACUGAAUACCCUCACGAGUGUCAAGAGUGGAGGAAUAGGCUGCAACGGAUAUUUCACACACAUACACGUCACACAUCCAACACACACACACACACAGCUGUGAUGACCGGUAUAUAUUUUCCAGCUAGCAACACUAGUUUACCAAACACACUACUUAAUAAUCCUAGAGAGAGAGAAUGGACGUUGAGGCAGAGACAAUGAUGACUCACCCAGCUGACAAUCUCCGUCUCUGAAUAGCAGCAAAAUGAGUGUGAAUAGGGGAGCUCUCCUGCCUCUCUGAAUAGCAGCGAUAUGAGUGUGAAUAGGGGAGCUCUCCUGCCUCUCUGAAUAGCCAAAGCACAGUGUUUACCUUGAUGUGACACAUCCAUUCAAACGCUAUCCUCAGAUUCAGAAUUUUUUAAUGGCUCUUUGCUUCGCCAAUACAAUGGCGGUUUGUGUGCCAGUCAAUUCACUGAGGGGAACUGGACAAUUACUGGCAGGCUUUUCUAAAUGUAACCUCCUGGACCCUGUUUAACAGCUAGGGUAAUGGAGGGGGGAUGAGCGGAGAGGACCAACAGUACAGACAGAGCGAAACAAAAGGACAAUCAAACACGUUCCACGCAGAAUGGAUUGGAGUGAAACGCAUCUGCUGCAAAACUACAGCAGCGAUGGCAAUUGUGAAACAUCAAUGUCUGUCUCACUUUAAAAGUGCAUGGAACGGAGUGGUAUUUUAUUCUCUCUACCUCAUGGAAAUGGUUUGCCCUUAACGCCAUUGUCUGACUAUCUAGCUGGAAGUUUACCAGUCAGUCGCAUUCUUAAUAGCCGUGAUAGUUGUGUUGCUGAACCAAGCACACAGCUAGACGAGAAGAAACAGGCCUUUUCCUCCACAUUAAAUGUUACUAGCACCAGAAAAAACACUUUCAACCUGAGCCUGAC